UACGGAGGGAGCUAGCGUUAUUCGGAAUUACUGGGCGUAAAGCGCACGUAGGCGGCUUUGUAAGUUAGAGGUGAAAGCCUGGAGCUCAACUCCAGAAUUGCCUUUAAGACUGCAUCGCUCGAAUCCGGGAGAGGUGAGUGGAAUUCCGGGUGUAGAGGUGAAAUUCGUAGAUAUUCGGAAGAACACCAGUGGCGAAGGCGGCUCACUGGACCGGCACUGACGCUGAGGUGCGAAAGCAUGGGGAGCAAACAGG
rnacentral:rRNA from 1 species